ACUGAGGCGUGACGACGAGGCACUACGGUGCUGAAGCAACAAAUGCCCUGCUUCCAGGAAAAGCCUCUAAGCAUCAGGUAACAUCAAAUCGUACCCCAAACCGACACAGGUGGUCAGGUAGAGAAUACCAAGGCGCUUGAGAGAACUCGGGUGAAGGAACUAGGCAAAAUGGUGCCGUAACUUCGGGAGAAGGCACGCUGACACGUAGGUGAAGUGAUUUACUCACGGAGCUGAAGUCAGCCGAAGAUACCAGCUGGCUGCAACUGUUUAUUAAAAACACAGCACUGUGCAAACACGAAAGUGGACGUAUACGGUGUGACGCCUGCCCGGUGCCGGAAGGUUAAUUGAUGGGGUCAGCGCAAGCGAAGCUCCUGAUCGAAGCCCCGGUAAACGGCGGCCGUAACUAUAACGGUCCUAAGGUAGCGAAAUUCCUUGUCGGGUAAGUUCCGACCUGCACGAAUGGCGUAAUGAUGGCCAGGCUGUCUCCACCCGAGACUCAGUGAAAUUGAACUCGCUGUGAAGAUGCAGUGUACCCGCGGCAAGACGGAAAGACCCCGUGAACCUUUACUAUAGCUUGACACUGAACAUUGAGCCUUGAUGUGUAGGAUAGGUGGGAGGCUUUGAAGUGUGGACGCCAGUCUGCAUGGAGCCGACCUUGAAAUACCACCCUUUAAUGUUUGAUGUUCUAACGUGGACCCGUGAUCCGGGUUGCGGACAGUGUCUGGUGGGUAGUUUGACUGGGGCGGUCUCCUCCUAAAGAGUAACGGAGGAGCACGAAGGUUGGCUAAUCCUGGUCGGACAUCAGGAGGUUAGUGCAAUGGCAUAAGCCAGCUUGACUGCGAGCGUGACGGCGCGAGCAGGUGCGAAAGCAGGUCAUAGUGAUCCGGUGGUUCUGAAUGGAAGGGCCAUCGCUCAACGGAUAAAAGGUACUCCGGGGAUAACAGGCUGAUACCGCCCAAGAGUUCAUAUCGACGGCGGUGUUUGGCACCUCGAUGUCGGCUCAUCACAUCCUGGGGCUGAAGUAGGUCCCAAGGGUAUGGCUGUUCGCCAUUUAAAGUGGUACGCGAGCUGGGUUUAGAACGUCGUGAGACAGUUCGGUCCCUAUCUGCCGUGGGCGCUGGAGAACUGAGGGGGGCUGCUCCUAGUACGAGAGGACCGGAGUGGACGCAUCACUGGUGUUCGGGUUGUCAUGCCAAUGGCACUGCCCGGUAGCUAAAUGCGGAAGAGAUAAGUGCUGAAAGCAUCUAAGCACGAAACUUGCCCCGAGAUGAGUUCUCCCUGAGACUUUAGGUCUCCUGAAGGAACGUUGAAGACGACGACGUUGAUAGGCCGGGUGUGUAAGCGCAGCGAUGCGUUGAGCUAACCGGUACUAAUGAACCGUGAGGCUUAACCUUACAACGCCGAAG
rnacentral:rRNA from 1 species